GUCCAUCACAGGUACUAAAGUACCUACAAAUUCAUUUAAUUUUGUCAAAUAAAUUAAACUUUUACAUUAUUCUAGAUAGGUUGUUGACAAAGUAGUUAGAUUACUAUGUAAGGUAAUUUAGUUUAUAAACUGUGUACAAUGAUCAAUUAUCGCAAACGAAAAACGAUUUAGUUAAAGGUUCUGUUCAACAUUUUUUGAUAUAUUUGAUUUGAAAAUUGUAUAAAUUCAUCACCACCAAAUAAAUUACAAUUGUUUUUUAAUGAAUUUUAUGAUAAAUGUGAACAUAAAAUCCUUAUGAAAAUAAAUUACAACAUUACACUCAAAUAAAUUUUUUUUUACCAACAAGUAAAAUUUUUGAUGAACAUUGUAUGCGAAAUGUAAAUGAUUUUCAUUUCAGACACCUGGAUAUUUAAUUGUAGGUAAUUGGUAUUAAACUUUUAUAUUACCUAUGGGUUGAUAACCAUUCAAAAUAUCCACGGACAAACUAUCCAAAUUUAAAAACGUAGACAAAUAUUUCUAAUAAAUAAGCACAAACAUUUUGAUAAAUCGAUAUAGCUACUCGAAUAAUAUAAAAUAAAAUUUAAGUUAAAAUGUAAAAUAAUUCAACGGCGUAAAUUUCUAGACUAUGGUCUGGCCCACGAGAGAUCGGGUUGCUGCCGCGCAUCCCCACGCCACGACCAUGCUCGGUGAUCGCCCGCCUGCACAUAAGCAACAUUUUGUACGUGAGCUCGGCGCCUGCAUUAAAAUCAAGCUCUACAAUUGGUUUAUUUGAACAUGCCGUCGAAUAUUUUUGUAGCCGGUUAUCACGGUUUUAGUAAAUACUCAAUUAUAUUAUCAGAAUUUACCGCGGCGCAUUGGGUAACGCGUUACUAGUAGGAUCCGUGUGUAUCGAGUUCGAUACCGUUCCGAACCGUUCUCGAUUUUUGCACUAUUUUUUGUACAAAAAAAAAAAACACGCGUUUAAUUUCCGUAUGUGAUUUAAACAUUUUUAUUUUGCCCCCAGGCUCGGUCACAAUCGAUUUUUUUUUUCCCUGUACGUUACCUACCCGACGUGGUUUUACACAACGAAUCGUAGGGUUAUUUUCGAUUAAAACAGUCUGAGCGAGUGACCCCGCGACAGGUCUCAAGGUGCACCCAAAAUGCUUUUUCACUCUUCUCUAUUACCAGGGACGGAUUGGGACUUUAGGCCGGCCCGAGAAAAUUUAUAUGCAGCACCACAUAUUUUGGAGGGGGCGUGAAGGCAACCUGCAAGUAUACCCUGUUGACCAAAUCAAUUUUUUUAGUCAAUUAAAAUUUUACAUUAUUUUACAUUACAUUUACAUUUAUGUAAAUUAUAGUAUAUUAAUUGAAUUAAUAAUACAGAAUAUAAAUUGUUAUACAUACAGAGUGAUUUUUUUUUUCAUGAACCAUCUGCAUUUAUCUCAAAGGAUUUUAAGUGAAUUUGAUUUCUGUUUUUUCUAAUCAUUAUGGAAUCGUUUAAAGCAGGGUUAUAGAUAGGAAAUUUAUUGCCCUUCCUUACUCCUCCGGUCUAAACUUUAAACUGUUAUAACUUAUAACUCAUAAACGAUAAAUCUGAUAUUAGUGUUAUGCAUAUCAAAAUUUCUAGAAAAAUAUUCUCUAUUCAAAUCUGUGUUAACAAGGGAAGGAGAUUCCUAUUUAAAAAUCAAAAGUAUGUACUUAUUUAAGGUAUCUAUAUGAAGUAGGGAUAACAAAUUAAAAAUGGUUUUAAAAUAAAGCUUAAGCGAUUCUAUUAUGAUUAGAAAAAGCAAAAUCAAACUAUUAAAUAUUUUCCCGUUUUUUCCGAUUUUCCAAAUUAUUGGGAAAACUCUUGGGGAAAAUUAAAAAUUUACUUCCCCUUAGAUUUCCUUUUAGAAAAAGUGUGAAUCCUAUAUAUAUAAGUGUAAAUCAGAGCAAAAUUGCUGGUAGAAAAGUAAUCCACAGAAAAAAAAAUCUUAAUAUUUUACUAUUAUAUUUCGUACAUUUUUUCGUAUUUCCUUCGUUUCUUUCGGUUUUUCACAUUUGAUGAGAACAAUCCUAAAAAAAUCGAUAAAUGACAUUUUUAAAUUACCUAUUCAAUCAGAUUUCCUUUUAAAAAAAGUGCUGUCAUUGUAAAUCGGAGCAAGAUUUCUGAUAAAGAAGUUGUUCACAGAUAUAAAAAAAAAAAAAAAAAAUAAAUAUCUUUGUAAAACCAUAAGCUUCUUCGUUCCACUCAGAAUCAAAAAGCACAAGUAAUAUUCUGGAUUGUAGGUACACUACAUACCAAACGGCAAAAUACGACGAUCGUCAAAUGCGUGUGGGGCGUGAACGAAUGAGAAAUUUAAUUAGAAAUUUAAUGGAAGCCACUAGCGAUUAGACAGUAAUUUGUGCUUAUAUACUUAAUAAUAAUAUUACAUACAAAUAAACUAAAUCAUAAAUAAAAAUAAUCUUAUCAUCCAGACACGCAUGUACUGUGAAAAGUCGUCACCCGCCACCGGUCUCAUUCUACGUUGCCGCUCGGAAUACAACCCAUGCUAUUAUUUUUAUUAUACACAUUUAUCUACAUCCAACAUAAAAUAUUAUUACGGAAUUUGAUUAUAUUAUAUUAAUUUCCACUGUUAUUAUCGUUAUCAGUAUAAAAAAAUAAAUAAAUAAAGAUCAUUUUAAAACCCGUGGUUGUUGCUGCAGUCGACUUUUUUUUUAUUAUUAUUAAAAAAAUAAAUUACAAUCUGUAAUCUAUUAGCCCAUCGGGAAUUUCCCGAUGGCCCAAUCCGUCCCCGACUAUUACCUACACGACGUGGUUUUGCACAACAAAUCGAGGGUUAUUUUUAAGCUAUAUAAAUUGCAUUCAAAUAAUUCUAAUAUAUACUGCACGCAAGGUACAAGGAUAAUAAUUAAUUUAUUAAAAUUAUUAUCCGUAAACCUUGUACUAUAUGUUAUCUAUAUAAAUUGUAUAAAAUAUUUGGCGGUGCAAUUCAAAUAAGCCAAUCGUAGGGCUCGAUUUUAAUACAGGUGCCGAGCUCACGUACGGAACAAUGAUAUGCCACCCGCUGUCAACGCUCAAAAUCGUUUUAACAUUACCUAUACAUGCGCAUAAGCGGUCCGGCCUCCCGCGGGACUGACUAUAGGUACAACAUUUUCUGAAAACGUUUAUGCAAAUUUUCGAAUUUGGAUAUUUUGACCUAGAUUCCUCUGUGGGUUAUAUAUUUUUGUUUUUACAUUAAUAGAAAACACAUUCAUAUAAAUACAGUAGGAUAACAUUAAUAUUAAAAUAAUAAGUAGUGGCGAUUAUUAUAAUUGUAGUGAAUAUAGAACUCGGUUGUGGAUCAAGGUGCCAAACCCUGUGCAAAUAUUAGAUCCAAAUAAAACCUUGAGAUUUUGUUAACAUUUUCACAUCAUGUUGUUCGAUUUUUUGUAAAAAUAAUAGGUUUAAUAUCUAUUUGUUUGUUCGAAUUUAAUUCUUUAAAAUCCAAUCAUGGAACCACACGAUCGCAGUUUUUUCAAUAUUUGAGCGCGUCAUGACGUCACCGACGUUAUACACAUUUUCCUACUGACUUAAAAAUGAAACCUCAUUCUAAGUUUAGAAAUAAUAAUGUACUGUUGAUCUAUUUACAAAUCGCAUAAUUUUUUCAAACACAACUUUUUCUAGAAAACAUUUAUCUAAACGAAUAAAACGUAUUAUUUACUAUUUUUUCGUUGUUUUUUUUAUCAUUUAUUAUUUUAUUGAAAUCGUCGUAAAAUACGAAUGCCUAUUUUCUGGGAAAUUGUUCGUAUGAUUCACGAAUUAAGAUAUACGUCUGAAUGUCUGAUCCAUACAUAUAUCAUACCUUAUGCUGAUAGACGAGCCUUUUGUUCACGAAUAACGGUCAUAGAUAGAGGGCGCUCUUCGCGUGUGACUUGUGAGUUUUACGUGGUAUUUUUGUUCAUUGUACUACACAUACAAUGACAAUACCGAUGUGAUUAUACUGCACACCACUGUAGUAUGCCUGACCGGUUACCAUCUCAGUUACUCUAUAGGCAAGGCCAGUUUACUAGUUUAAGAGCUAUGGAUCCAUAUCCGUGACGUCACUGUUAUCUAUACAUGUUUCUGUGAUACUAUUCUGCGUUAUCAGCACAAUAAUAAGACUAUAAUCAUUAUAGACAAUAUGAGAAUUCCUAUAUCAUAUAUGAUAAUCAUGAAGAUUAGAGAUAUCUCUAAUAUAAGACUAGAACAAGGUGUAUCAAUACAUCUUGGACAAGAAUAAGGACAUGAUUUAUAAAUAAUAAUAUAAAUUAUCUAUAAACCAAGGUGGAUUAAUCAACCUUACUGUAAACUAUAAUAUUACUCUAUGGACCAAACUUCGAUUCUGAUAACGUCCCGAAAUGAGUCGCGUGAUCAAACGGCUACAGGCUAUGGUGCGUACGCUAGGGCUGCUACUUCAACCCGCGAAGUAUAACGAUUUUUCAUGUUUUUUGGAACAUAUGUACAUUAUUUCGAAUAAUAACCCAUCAUAAAUUCUACGGCUCGUAAAAUUUCUCAUUCAUACAUGUAUAUUUUAUAAAUAUAUUAUUUUUCUUUAUACCUACUACAAUAAUCUAGUCUUCAUGAAUUAUGGCUAUUGCUAUAUUUAGCACAAUACCAGAUAUCUAUGUUAAACUUAUGAUAGUUAAAUCGAAAUAUUAUUUAAUUUAGUUUUCAUUAUAUUAAAACGGAUACUAUUAACCAUACAAAGCGUGAUUUUUCUUUUUCAGUCUAUAAUGAAACUAUUUAAUAUUUAUAGUUACCUACUAAUUAAAUAUUACCAAAAUGUAGACAAGGUACGUUGGAAUUCAAUACGGGCACGCAUACAAUGCUAAAAAUGCACUGUCGCGUGUGGCAACGAGUCCGUAUUUUAUCGUUUUAAAGAAAAAAAAAAAAAUUGAAUUAUCUAUUUGCUUUUUUAAACACGAACAGUUUAAAGGUGCAUUUAUUUUUUAUGAAUCGUAGGGAAAUUCCCAUGUCAAAUGUAUACACACAGAGUCAUUGAUAUAUCAUUUAAUAAUUUCAAUUAUAUGCUGAAAUCUACCGAUUUAAAUGAAAACCAUAUAGUAUAAUAUUAUGAUAUUCCUGUUCGAUUACGGUUGAUUAAUGUUAUCUCACGUAGAUGGGUAAUUUAUUGUGACAAUUUUGGUCGAUUGUUGCCGUGAAGUAACACCACGCAUCGUAGGGUAUGUUUAUGACAUAUACACAUAUGUACAAGUAUGAAUAUGUAUUUUUACGAGCUAUACAAUUU